rnacentral:rRNA from 1 species
UACGGAGGGCGCGAGCGUUACCCGGGUUUACUGGGGGUAAAGGGCGUGUAGGGGGCUUGGGGCGUCCCAUGAGAAAGGCCACGGCUCAACCGUGGAGGAGCGUGGGAUACGCUCAGGCUAGACGGUGGGAGAGGGUGGUGGAAUUCCCGGAGUAGCGGUGAACUGCGCCGAUACCGGGAGGAACGCCGUUGGCGAAGGCACCCACCUGGCUCACUGGUGACGAUGAUGCGCGAAAGCGUGGGGAGCAAACCGG